CAGCUGCUUCUCUUUCCUAUGAGGGCAUUAUAGCCCCGGCUUGCCUCCCAGGUGAAACCUGGUCCAUGUGAGACGUGGGUGGGCUUCCAGCUUCCAACAGUCUGGUGCUUGGGCCAGGGACUUGAAGAAUGGCCGAAAAAUGCUGGAGGAAUGCUGCUUGGUGUGGAGCUCCACGGGAAGAAAAAGAAAAGGAUCGUAUUGGGCACCGAAGCAACAGGAAACUUCACCUGUGUGUUAUAGAUUAUUUCCUAUUGUAAGAAGUUGCUUCAAAAUUUUGGUACUUCUUUCCACUGGUCCUGUAUUUAUAGAAACAAGAAGGCAAUGAGUAUACAAACCAACAAACAUCUUCUCAAACUCCUCCAGAAUC
ensembl:lincRNA